ensembl:snRNA U6 U6 spliceosomal RNA
GUGUUCACUUUGGCAGCACAAAUACUAAAAUUGGAACGAUACAGAGAAGAUUAGCAUGGCCCCUCAAGGAUGACACUCAAAUUCGUGAAGCAUUCCAUAUUUUU